UCUCCCAUGGUGUAGUGGUUAAGCACGCGAGUCUUAUAUGCUUGAAGGCCGGGUUCGACUCCCGGUGGGAGUACCA
rnacentral:tRNA from 1 species